rnacentral:rRNA from 1 species
UACGAAGGGGGCUAGCGUUGUUCGGAAUUACUGGGCGUAAAGCGCGCGCAGGCGGCCUUUCAAGUCGGUGGUGAAAUCCCAAAGCUCAACUUUGGAAUUGCCAUCGAAACUGUAAGGCUUGGGUACGGGGGAGGUGAGUGGAAUUCCGAGUGUAGAGGUGAAAUUCGUAGAUAUUCGCAAGAACACCAGUGGCGAAGGCGGCUCACUGGCCCGGUACUGACGCUGAGGUGCGAAAGCGUGGGGAGCAAACAGG